UGGCCGGGCUCUGCCGCACAAUGGGAAUGCUGCUUCUGAGAACAAGGGCCGGGCUCCAGAUCCAGGCUCGCACUGUUCUUGCAAGCGCUAGCAGAGCGAAAGAGGCCCCCCGCCUCCUCCUUUUCCUCCUCCUCAUCCUCGUCCUCCAGCCCAGUCAGAUCUAUAAAGCUAAGUCCAUUGGGAGUCCUCCCUACUGGUGAAGAAGAGACCCAAAACUACGGCCCGGGAAUUUGGCCCGAUAAGCCACGCAAGGAAAACCAAGCGGGAGAAGAUUGUCGAUCGCCCAGAUUAAUCGGACAGAAGGAACGGACAAUGAGUUGCGCCUUGAAUAAGUAGAAUGAGAACAAAACAGACUGCCUUUAAGAAAUUACAAAGUCUCUGUCAACAAAAAAGUUAUUUAAAAAAAAGAAAGAAAGUAUAAAGUCAAAAAAUUUAGCAGAUGAAAGGAAAGAAGGGUCAAGAUUUCAAAGAAACCAAUGGAAAAAUGUAAAGGAAGGAAAUACAGCAGUGCCAGACCUUAAACUACAUUGAAAGGCAGUAAAUAUCAAAACCGGCUAAGAAAUAGAAAGAUGGGGUUAGUGGAACAGAAUAGAAACAUAAUUCAUAGCAAUGAAAAAUUUCAGUAAUCUUGUAUUUGAUAAAUUAGAGAUUUAAGCUUUGUGGGUAAGAAUUCCUUAUUUGGUGAAAAUUUCGGGGGAAGCUGGAAAGCUAUCUGGCAGAAAUUGAGCACAGACCAGUAUCUUAGACCAUGUACCGAGAUAAAACCAAAGGGGGUACAUGACAGAUAUGAAAGGAGAUACCACAAGAAAAUCUGAAGUAUAUGGAACAUGUUGCCCAAUAGACUCAUAGUUAGGAGAAUACUAAGAAAGAAAGAGCACCGUGAGGAUAAUUUCCCAUUAUUUUCAAUUAGAUGAAAAGAAAAUUUAUACAAAUAAAACCAAUGAAGCCAAGAUUAGAAGGAGAGCAGAAAAUUGGGAGGUAAGUUUAAGAGAAUCUAUUAGAUAAAGGUCCUAUUUCUCAUACAUACAAAGAACUUUGUCAAAUUUAUAAGAAUACAAAUUAUUCCCCAAUUGAUAAAUGGUUAAAGGAUAUAAACAGGUAGUUUUUCAAUGAAGACAUCAAAACUAUAUUGUCAAGUGAAAACAUGCUCUAAAUCAUUACUGAUGAAAUACAAAUUAAAACAAUUUAAAGAUACCAUUUUAUACUUAUCAGAGUAUCUAAAAUGACAGAUGCCCUUCAAUUGGAGAAUGGCUAAACAAGAGUAGUAUAUGACUGGGACAGAAUACUAUGGUGAUGUAAGAAAUGAUGAGCUGCUCAACAAUGAGAUGAUUCAAAACAGUUCCAAUUGUUCAGUAAUGAAAGGAGCCAUCUAUACCCAGAGAGAGGACUGUGGCUACUGUGUGUGGACCCAACAUAGUAAUCUCACUCUUAAUGUUAUUGUUUGCUUUUUGUUUUCCUUCUCCAGUUUUUUUUUUUUUCUUUCUAGAUCUGAUUUUUCUUGUGCGGCAAGAUAACUAUAUAAUUAUGUAUACAUAUAUUGGAUUUAACAUAUUUAACAUGUAUGGGACUACCUGCCAUCUAAGGGGAGGGGGUAGUUUUGCAAAAGUCAUUGUUGAAAAUAUUACCUAUGCAUAUGUUUUGUAAAUACAAACCUAUAAUAAAAAAUGAUUGAGUUGGAUGAUUUUAGAAAAACAUGGAAAGUCCUGCACCUAUAAAAGAAGAUGCUAUUCAUCUUCAGAGGAAGAACUGAGAAGUAGAAAUAUGUAUAGUAUAGUAUGGUCUGACAUAUAUGCAUAUGUAUGUAUACAUGUAUACACAUAAUUGUAGCCUUCCCUAAGGCAGGCUGGGAAGGAAUAAAAUAAAAUUGA